rnacentral:rRNA from 1 species
GGAAUAUUGGACAAUGGCCGAGAGGCUGAUCCAGCCAUGCCGCGUGCGGGAAGACGGCCCUAUGGGUUGUAAACUGCUUUUAUACGGGGAUAAAGUGAGGGACGUGUCCCUUAUUGUAGGUACCGUAUGAAUAAGGACCGGCUAAUUCCGUGCCAGCAGCCGCGGUAAUACGGAAGGUCCGGGCGUUAUCCGGAUUUAUUGGGUUUAAAGGGAGCGCAGGCCGACUGGUAAGCGUGACGUGAAAUGUAGCCGCUCAACGGCUGAACUGCGUCGCGAACUGUCAGUCUUGAGUGAGUUCGAUGUUGGCGGAAUUCGUGGUGUAGCGGUGAAAUGCUUAGAUAUCACGAAGAACUCCGAUUGCGAAGGCAGCCAACAAGGCCUUUACUGACGCUAAAGCUCGAAGGUGCGGGUAUCGAACA